rnacentral:rRNA from 1 species
GAUGAACGCUGGCGGCGUGCUUAACACAUGCAAGUCGAACGGAAAGGCCUAAGCUUGCUUGGGUACUCGAGUGGCGAACGGGUGAGUAACACGUGGGUGAUCUGCCCUGCACUUCGGGAUAAGCCUGGGAAACUGGGUCUAAUACCGGAUAGGACGAUGGUUUGGAUGCCAUUGUGGAAAGUUUUUUCGGUGUGGGAUGAGCUCGCGGCCUAUCAGCUUGUUGGUGGGGUAAUGGCCUACCAAGGCGUCGACGGGUAGCCGGCCUGGGAGGGUGUACGGCCACAUUGGGACUGAGAUACGGCCCAGACUCCUACGGGAGGGAGCAGUGGGGAAUAUUGCACAAUGGGCGCAAGCCUGAUGCAGCGAAGCCGCGUGGGGGAUGACGGCCUUCGGGUUGUAAACUCCUUUCGCUAGGGACGAAGCGUUUUUGUGACGGUACCUGGAGAAGAAGCACCGGCUAACUACGUG